rnacentral:rRNA from 1 species
CUACGGGAGGCUGCAGUGGGGAAUAUUGCACAAUGGGCGCAAGCCUGAUGCAGCCAUGCCGCGUGUAUGAAGAAGGCCUUCGGGUUGUAAAGUACUUUCAGCGGGGAGGAAGGGAGUAAAGUUAAUACCUUUGCUCAUUGACGUUACCCGCAGAAGAAGCACCGGCUAACUCCGUGCCAGCAGCCGCGGUAAUACGGAGGGUGCAAGCGGUAAUCGGAAUUACUGGGCGUAAAGCGCACGCAGGCGGUUUGUUAAGUCAGAUGUGAAAUCCCCGGGCUCAACCUGGGAACUGCAUCUGAUACUGGCAAGCUUGAGUCUCGUAGAGGGGGGUAGAAUUCCAGGUGUAGCGGUGACAUGCGUAGAGAUCUGGGGGAAUACCGGUGGCGAAGGCGGCCCCCUGGACGAAGACUGACGCUCAGGUGCGAAAGCGUGGGGAGCAAACAGGAUUAGAUACCCGAGUAGUC